rnacentral:rRNA from 1 species
UACGAAGGGGGCUAGCGUUGUUCGGAAUUACUGGGCGUAAAGGGCGCGUAGGCGGCCUUGUCAGUCAGAUGUGAAAGCCCCGGGCUCAACCUGGGAACCGCAUUUGAUACUGCAAGGCUCGAGUUCCGGAGAGGAUGGUGGAAUUCCCAGUGUAGAGGUGAAAUUCGUAGAUAUUGGGAAGAACACCCGUGGCUAAGGCGGCUCUCUAGUACGGUACUGACGCUGAGACGCGAAAGCGUGGGGAGCGAACAGG